CGGCAGGAGACGCAUCAUUAUUACUCAGUCACACAAGGAGGAGCAUGAGUAGAGGAGGCAGGAGACGCAUCAUUAUUACUCAGUCACACAAGGAGGAGCAUGAGUAGAGGAGGCAGGAGACGCAUCAUUAUUACUCAGUCACACAAGGAGGAGCAUGAGUAGAGGGGGCAGGAGACGCAUCAUUAUUACUCAGUCACACAAGGAGGAGCAUGAGUAGAGGGGGCAGGAGACCACAGCUUUGAAUUUCAAGACCUCAGUGUUUUGCCACCACAUCACACUGACUCAGGUCCAUUGUGCUCUGCUUGAUGCUCAUCCCCAUGAAUUUUUAAUUGGAAGUUGGAGGAGAAAUGAUUACGCAUGCACCAAGAAAACAUGAUGCAUGGGCCAGUUGUACUGUUUCCAAAAUAUUUAGAAAGGCAAUAAAGUCCUCAUGGUAUAGUUCCUGACUUCAACACGUUGUUUUCUGUCAGUCGCACUAAUUUCAUUCCAUUUACUAAAUGAAUUUUUAUGUGAAGAGUUUAUGAAACAUAAAGUUGGAUGGAAUAUGUAUGUGUGUAUGUAUAGAACAUGUAUAUCUAUAACUUAUGUGGUUUAAAGAUAAGUGUUUGGAGAACUAUGUCUAGAUACUCAUGUCGCAACAGAAGAAAGGGUGGGGGAAAAAACUGUAACUGCAAUGUAUACAUCUAAGGAUGACCUGACCCCCUUGCUGUACAGUGGGAAAAUAAAAAAAAAAAAAAAAAAAAAAAAAAAAAGAUAAGUGUUUGGCGUCUGAAACAGUACUGAGAAUUAGAUGCAGACAUAGAAUUAUUUUGUCAUUUAUGUGUGCACAUGUGCAAGUGCAGAGCUGUGUGUACCCAGGGAAUGGGGGGUACACACAUAGUGUGUUCGGUCGAUGAUACUUAUGGCACAGUUUUAUGUGAGACGAUCUCAUAAUAGAAGGUAAUGGAUACCAAACUGUAUUUACAGAAAUGUGACUUGGCAAAUAUGAGGGCAGGAAAAGGAAAGCUUCAUCAGCAUGCCUGCUUUAGAGGUCUCGGUACAGGAUGGCUUUGAGGCCAGAACACAUUGCUAUUAUAUAAGUAUGUUUUGUUUUUUUUUUUCAAAUCAAAAUACAAUAUUUUUC